AACGAACGCUGGCGGCAUGCCUAAUACAUGCAAGUCGAACGAGACCUUCGGGUCUAGUGGCGCACGGGUGCGUAACGCGUGGGAACCUGCCCUUAGGUUCGGAAUAACUCCCCGACAGGGGUGCUAAUACCGGAUAAUGUCUUCGGCCCAAAGAUUUAUUGCCUUUGGAUGGGCCCGCGUUGGAUUAGCUUGUUGUUAGGGUAAAAGCCUACCAAGGCGACGAUUCAUAGCUGGUUAGAGAGGAUGAUCAGCCACACUGGGACUGAGACACGGCCCAGACUCCUACGGGAGGCGGCAGUGGGGAAUAGUGGACAAUGGGCGAAGGCCUGAACCAGCAAUGCCGCGUGAGUGAUGAAGGCCUGAGGGAUGUAAAGCUCUUUUACCCGGGAUGAUAAUGACAGUACCGGGAGAAUAAGCUCCGGCUAACUCCGUG
rnacentral:rRNA from 1 species